rnacentral:rRNA from 31 species
UUGACCUCGAAUCAGGUAGGAAUACCCGCUGAACUUAA